rnacentral:rRNA from 1 species
UACGAAGGGGACUAGCGUUGUUCGGAAUCACUGGGCGUAAAGCGCACGUAGGCGGAUUUGUAAGUCAGGGGUGAAAUCCCGGGGCUCAACCUCGGAACUGCCUUUGAUACUGCGAAUCUUGAGUCCGAUAGAGGUGGGGUGGAAUUCCUAGUGUAGAGGUGAAAGUUCGUAGAUAUUAGGAAGAAACACCAGUGGCGAAGGCGGCCCACUGGAUCGGUACUGACGCUGAGGUGCGAAAGCGUGGGGAGCAAACAG